GACGAACGCUGGCGGCGUGCUUAACACAUGCAAGUCGAACGGAAAGGCCCUGCUUUUGUGGGGUGCUCGAGUGGCGAACGGGUGAGUAACACGUGAGUAACCUGCCCUUGACUUUGGGAUAACUUCAGGAAACUGGGGCUAAUACCGGAUAGGAGCUCCUGCUGCAUGGUGGGGGUUGGAAAGUUUCGGCGGUUGGGGAUGGACUCGCGGCUUAUCAGCUUGUUGGUGGGGUAGUGGCUUACCAAGGCUUUGACGGGUAGCCGGCCUGAGAGGGUGACCGGCCACAUUGGGACUGCGAUACGGACCAGACUCCUACGGGAGGCAGAAGUGGGGAAUAUUGCACAAUGGGCGGAAGCCUGAUGCAGCAACGCCGCGUGCGGGAUGACGGCCUUCGGGUUGUAAACCGCUUUCGCCUGUGACGAAGCGUGAGUGACGGUAAUGGGUAAAGAAGCACCGGCUAACUACGUG
rnacentral:rRNA from 1 species